AUUGAACGCUGGCGGCAUGCCUUACACAUGCAAGUCGAACGGCAGCACGGGUGCUUGCACCUGGUGGCGAGUGGCGAACGGGUGAGUAAUACAUCGGAACAUGUCCUGUAGUGGGGGAUAGCCCGGCGAAAGCCGGAUUAAUACCGCAUACGAUCUACGGAUGAAAGCGGGGGACCUUCGGGCCUCGCGCUAUAGGGUUGGCCGAUGGCUGAUUAGCUAGUUGGUGGGGUAAAGGCCUACCAAGGCGACGAUCAGUAGCUGGUCUGAGAGGACGACCAGCCACACGGGGACUGAGACCCGGCCCAGCCUCCUACGGGAGGCCGCAGUGGGGAAUUUUGAACAAGGGGCGAAAGCCUUAUCCAGCAAUGCCGCGUGUGUUAAGAAGGCCUUCGGGUUGUAAAGCUCUUUUGUCCGGAAAGAACACCUGGCCCCGAAACCGUUCGGGGCUUGACGGGACCGAAUCAACAAGCCCCGGCUAACUACGUG
rnacentral:rRNA from 1 species